rnacentral:rRNA from 1 species
UACGUAGGGUGCAAGUGUUAAUCGGAAUUACUGGGCGUAAAGCGUGCGCAGGCGGUGAUGUAAGACAGAUGUGAAAUCCCCGGGCUCAACCUGGGAACUGCAUUUGUGACUGCAUAGCUAGAGUACGGUAGAGGGGGAUGGAAUUCCGCGUGUAGCAGUGAAAUGCGUAGAUAUGCGGAGGAACACCGAUGGCGAAGGCAAUCCCCUGGACCUGUACUGACGCUCAUGCACGAAAGCGUGGGGAGCAAACAGG